rnacentral:rRNA from 1 species
GACAGAGGGUGCAAACGUUGUUCGGAAUUACUGGGCGUAAAGCGCGUGUAGGUGGCAAGGCAAGUCGGGUGUGAAAGCCCUGGGCUCAACCCAGGAAGUGCACUCGAUACUGCCUCGCUAGAGUCCCGGAGAGGUUGGUGGAACUCUCGGUGUAGAGGUGAAAUUCGUAGAUAUCGAGAAGAACACCGGUGGCGAAGGCGGCCAACUGGACGGUGACUGACACUGAGACGCGAAAGCGUGGGGGAGACCAAAC